GCCGGAAUGGCGAAAUGGCAUACGCGGACGCCUCAAAAGCGUCUACCCGAAAGGGUGUGCGGGUUCGAGUCCCGCUUCCGGCACCC
rnacentral:tRNA from 1 species